GGCCUUGUAGCUCAGCUAGAAGAGCGUGCGUUGUACAAAAGCGUAGGCGGCGCCCAUGUGUGGGUUCGAAUCCCGCCGAGGCAA
rnacentral:tRNA from 1 species